rnacentral:rRNA from 1 species
AUUGAACGCUGGCGGCAGGCCUAACACAUGCAAGUCGAGCGAGCGGCGGACGGGUGAGUAAUGUCUGGGAAACUGCCUGAUGGAGUGGGAUAACUACUGGACACGGUAGCUAAUACCGCAUCCCAUCAGAUGUGCCCAGAUGGGAUUAGCUAGUAGGUGGGGUAAAGGCGCACCUAGGCGCCGAUCCCUAGCUGGUCUGAGAGGAUGACCAGCCGUACUGGAACGUGGACACGGUCCAGACGCCGACGGGAGGCAGCAGUGGGGAAGAUUGAACAAUGGGAGAAAGCCUGAUGCAGCCAUGCCGCGUGUAUGAAGAAGGCCUUCGGGUUGUAAAGUACUUUCAGCGGGGAGGCGUUACCCGCAGAAGAAGCACCGGCUAACUCCGUGCCAGCCGCCGCGGUAAUAC